rnacentral:rRNA from 1 species
UUAGUGGCGGACGGGUGAGUAACGCGUGGGCAACCUGCCUUACACAGGGGGAUAACACUUAGAAAUAGGUGCUAAAACCGCAUAAGCGCACAGCUUCGCAUGAAGCGGUGUGAAAAACUCCGGUGGUGUAAGAUGGACCCGCGUCUGAUUAGCUUGUUGGCGGGGUAGGGGCCCACCAAGGCGACGAUCAGUAGCCGGCCUGAGAGGGUGGACGGCCACAUUGGGACUGAGACACGGCCCAAACUCCUACGGAAGGCAGCAG